rnacentral:rRNA from 1 species
GAUGAACGCUGGCGGCGUGCCUAAUACAUGCAAGUCGAGCGAACAGACGAGGAGCUUGCUCCUCUGACGUUAGCGGCGGACGGGUGAGUAACACGUGGAUAACCUACCUAUAAGACUGGGAUAACUUCGGGAAACCGGAGCUAAUACCGGAUAAUAUAUUGAACCGCAUGGUUCAAUAGUGAAAGACGGUUUUGCUGUCACUUAUAGAUGGAUCCGCGCCGCAUUAGCUAGUUGGUAAGGUAACGGCUUACCAAGGCAACGAUGCGUAGCCGACCUGAGAGGGGGAUCGGCCAAACGGGAACUGAGACACGGUCCAGACUCCGACGGGAGGCAGCAGUAGGGAAUCUUCCGCAAUGGGCGAAAGCUUGACGGAGCAACGCCGCGUGAGUGAUGAAGGUCUUCGGAUCGUAAAACUCUGUUAUUAGGGAAGAACAAAUGUGUAAGUAACUAUGCACGUCUUGACGGUACCUAAUCAGAAAGCCACGGCUAACUACGUG